rnacentral:rRNA from 1 species
UACGGAGGGGGCUAGCGUUGUUCGGAAUUACUGGGCGUAAAGCGCGCGUAGGCGGCUUUGUAAGUCAGAGGUGAAAUCCCGGGGCUCAACUCCGGAACUGCCUUUGAAACUGCAUCGCUUGAAUGUCGGAGAGGUGAGUGGAAUUCCGAGUGUAGAGGUGAAAUUCGUAGAUAUUCGGAAGAACACCAGUGGCGAAGGCGGCUCACUGAACGACUAUUGACGCUGAGGUGCGAAAGCGUGGGGAGCGAACAGG